rnacentral:rRNA from 1 species
GUACGGGGGGGGGCAAGCGUUGUUCGGAAUUACUGGGCGUAAAGGGCUCGUAGGUGGCCAACUAAGUCAGACGUGAAAUCCCCAGGCUCAACCUGGGAACUGCGUCUGAUACUGGAUGGCUUGAAUUCGGGAGAGGGAUGCAGAAUUCCAGGUGUAGCGGUGAAAUGCGUAGAUAUCUGGAGGAAUACCGGUGGCGAAGGCGGCAUCCUGGACCGAUAUUGACGCUGAGGCGCGAAAGCCAGGGGAGCAAACGGG